rnacentral:lncRNA from 1 species
GGUUUUUUGGUUUUUUGGGACAGGGUUUCUCUGUGUAGCCCUGGCUGUCCUAGAACUCACUUUGAAGACCAGGCUGGCUUCGAACUCAGAAAUCUGCCUGCCUCUGCCUCUGCCUCCCAAGUGUUGGGAUUAAAGGCAUGCGCCACCACGCUCAGACGACCAAGGCAGCUCUUAUAAGGACAUUUAAUUGGGGCUGGCUUACAGGUUCAGAGUAUACUCCAUUAACCUCAAUGUGGGAGUGUUCAGGCAGGCAUGGUAUAGGAGGAGUUGAGAGUUCUACCUCCUCAUCUGAAGGCUGCUAGGAGAAGACCACUUCCAGGCAGCUAGGACGAGGGUCUCAAAGCCUAUGCCCACAGUGUCACACCUAUUCCAACAAGGCCACACCUCCUAAUAGUACCACUCCCUGGGCCACGCACAUAAAAACCAUCACAAAAUGGAACUUUUUUAAAGAUAGGGACUCAUGUAAUUAAGGCUAGACUUGAACUUACUAUGUAGCUGAGGAUGACCUUGGAUUUCUGAUCCUUCUGACUCUACUUCUCAAGUGCUAAAAUUAUAGGCCUGCACCGUUAUGGAGACUUAUGUGUUGCUGGGUUUGGAGGCCAGGGCUUCAUACAUGAUAGACUCUACCAAGUGGCUAUAUCCCCAUCCCUAGAACUUUCCUUUUUCUUCCCAAAGGGGCAAACUUAACCGUAACAGAAGGGGAUGUCUCUGAGAACCACAAGAAUAUCUCGUGAACUUUGUGUACACCCCACAUGUGGGACACAUUAGAUGGGUCAGAAAGACAGCAAGGCCUCUGACAGGUCCAUACACCAAUGCCACCAUCCACCCUGGUCCAAAAGGAGGCUGACCUGAGGCUCUGAUACAGGCUCACCUCUCCCUCCAUGUCCUUUCUUCUUCUCUUGACUGAUUUUUCAUCAGGAAGACCAGAAGCUGAGCCAUGAAAAAGAAAACAGAACCAGUCAGAAACCCAAGGUCAUCCACUCCUCUGCUGGUGGCUCUGUGGAGAGCGAGGAGUUCACUGCUCGUCACCAGUCCCUAGCAAGGGACAUUCUCGAGCUAGGCUGUUGACGCUGGCAGUGUAACUGCAGGGCCCAAGCACAGCCUACCCCCACCCCCCAUCCCUCCUGAGAAGAUUGAAAUGUCCUGAUUGAAGUACUGUCUGCUCACAGCCCUAUAACUCCUCCCAGCUGUGUGUUUUAUUGUCAUAUUGACACUAAUGUGCCUCGGAUGUCACCUCCAUCCUGAUGCUCAUUCUUUAUGCAGGGCGGGGAGGCUCAGAAACCGAUGGCAUUGAUCUCACAGGGGAGAGGCAGACAUUGCUGGGGUCUCAGGGGACUGCUUCAGGCAGGAAUCCAGGCCCAGCCUGGCACAGAGGGGAGACUGAGGCUGAGGAGAACAACCGUGGGUCCCACAGACUGCUGAGCACAGGCUGGGAAUGAGCUGGGGAAGAGAGGCCCUUUGGUGAAUUUGAGUUGACCAGGAUACGAUUCUACUUACUCAGUUGGGGAACUCAAAGCCCAGGCCUUGGCUUUCUCUGCCCUCGGGACAUGACUGAAAAAUGGGGCCACUAGCCUCUAAGUCCCCAGCUCCGUGGCCUCGCCAUGGAGGCUCCGUGGAGUUUAGAUGGGUAAAAUACUUGGGCUGAAUUCCUCAGAACACAUCUUGAGAGUGAGUGUAGAAAAGACCUGGGCCAACUGCAGUGGAUUAUACCUGUAAUCUCAGCACUGGGAAGGUGUUAAGUGGAAGAGUCAGGAGUUCAAGGCCACCCUUCGCUAUACCACGUCCUGUCUC